rnacentral:rRNA from 1 species
GGUCGAAAGGAGAAAUUCAUUCGCGUUUCGUGCAUCCGGAGUUGGACGUUCGCGUGACGGACGGCGUUCGCGUCGUUCGCGCCUUUCGUUCUUCUAACCGGUGUCGAACGUGUGCACUUUUCUCCUAGUAGGACGUCGCGAUCCGUUGGGUGUCUGUCUAAGGCUCGGGGUGGAGCCCACGAGACGCAGUUUCUGUUUGUCGCGUGGACCCUCGGUGUUCCGACAGGCUCGCUCGACGGUAUGCAAAUGGCGCGAGGCCGCUACUCAGUUAGCGUUCGGCCCGUAGCAAGCACGUUUCGCGUUUGACGGCGAUCGGACCCGGUGCCGAUUCUGUCCCGGAACGACUGUUGGUUACGGUGUCUCUCGAACAGACCUCGU